UCGAUAUGUUGACACCACUCACGUACUC
rnacentral:sRNA from 1 species